GCUAGAGCUUCCCGGCUACCCUGGAAGCUGGAGGCCGGGACCAGCUCUUCAGGUGACAGGCCUCUGUGUCUCCACAGUGGCCAGAGGGGAGCCUGCCUGACUGAUGAGCAAGGCUCGACUUUGUCACCAAGGCAGAGAAGGGACCCGGAUAAAUGACCCCGGCGGCCCCCACCCCUGCCUGGUGUGAGAGUGGGGUCUUCUCUGGCCCAGCCUUUGACUGAAGCUGGUCUGGAGACAGGAGCAUUAGAGAAGUGACUCAUAGAUGGCCUAAAGAAGCGGGGCCACUCAAGGACCCAGGACAGAGGGAAGAGGGCCAACCCAGCUGGACCACAGGCAAACCCCAUGGCCUUUGAGAGAAGAGAGAAGAGGACCCGGUGAAGUAGGCUCGGAGGCCCUCAGCCCAGCAGGAGUGCAGGGCUUUUCCUCCAGGAGCUGCACCAGGAACUCAUAGAGGAUCAGGGAGAAUUCUGAGAACACGCUACUGUGGUGCUGCCUAGAAAGGAGGAUAAAUGAUGACAAGUACAUCUCUGAGUAACAUACGGGCACUUGUUCAUGAAAACUGUUUUUCUGAAAGCUUGUGAAGGUCUUGAAAUACUCGCUAUCAGUUGAGGACAAACAUUUACACCCUCCUUCCACAGGGAGUUCAAGCAGCCUGGAUGGGUCCAUCUAUGGAUGAUCUUCCCCAGCCCCUUCCUCUUCCCAGGUUAUCCCUGGCUCUCUGUGUGAACAGUUCUCAUCAGUGGAAUGUCAUUGAUGAAGUGAGGUCUUCAAUUUUCUCAUCUACUGUGUGGUCAUGUUAUUUUCCUCAUCCGAGGCUUAAAAACUCACCUGCAUGCAGCACAUGACAGCUUAAAAUCUCUUGUGAACAAAACAGUAACAAAGACACACACCAGGGUUGAGCAUCCCAUGUUGAUGACAGCGACCACCAGGGGUCAACGUCCUCUUCACAAUCCUGUGUCAGAGCAUCACUUGACUGAUUUCAUUAGCAACUUCCCAGGAGAAUCAGCUUAUAAAAUACUUGUCCCAUUUUCCAUGCAGAUGUAACCCAUCUAUUUUACUGAAGAAAUAGGAAGAGCUGAAUGCUGAAUUCACUGAAUGUCUGCAGGUUGUGCAAGUUUGUGACUUUAUCACUUUCUGAUUUCUGAUCUGUGUGGACCACUCUACAGAUUUUUCUCACUGGUGUGAUCAGCCUUCUGGAUGUCAAAUAUAAUAGACUUUCAUCAUAUAAAAGUCAACACAAGCUC